rnacentral:rRNA from 1 species
UACGGAGGGUGCAAGCGUUAUCCGGAUUUACUGGGUUUAAAGGGUGCGCAGGCGGAUAUGUAAGUCAGGGGUGAAAUCCUGGAGCUCAACUCCAGAACUGCCUUUGAUACUGGCGAUCUCGAGUCCGGGAGAGGUGAGUGGAACUGCGAGUGUAGAGGUGAAAUUCGUAGAUAUUCGCAAGAACACCAGUGGCGAAGGCGGCUCACUGGCCCGGUACUGACGCUGAGGUGCGAAAGCGUGGGGAGCAAACAGG